CAGGAAAUAGUUUAUUGAGAAUAUCAGCUUUGGGUGCUGAUGGUGGGGUAAAGUAUCUCUUUCCUGA
rnacentral:tRNA from 1 species